rnacentral:rRNA from 1 species
CCUACGGGUGGCAGCAGUGAGGAAUAUUGGUCAAUGGGCGCGAGCCUGAACCAGCCAAGUAGCGUGAAGGAUGACUGCCCUACGGGUUGUAAACUUCUUUUAUAAAGGAAUAAAGUGAGGCACGUGUGCCUUUUUGUAUGUACUGUAUGAAUAAGGAUCGGCUAACGCCGUGCCAGCAGCCGCGGUAAUACGGAGGAUCCGAGCGUUAUCCGGAUUUAUUGGGUUUACAGGGAGCGUAGAGGGGUUGUUAAGGCAGUUGUGAAAGUUUGCGGCUCAACCGGAAAAUGGCAAUUGAUACUGGCAGUCUUGAGUACAGUUGAGGUAGGCGGCCUUCGUGGUGUAGCGGUUCACUGCUUAGCUCUCACG